rnacentral:rRNA from 1 species
GAAGGCGCUCUGCUGGGCCAUCACUGACGCUCAUGGACGAAAGCCAGGGGAGCGAAAGGGAUUAGAUACCCCUGUAGUCCUGGCCGUAAACGAUGAACACUAGGUGUCGGGGGAAUCGACCCCCUCGGUGUCGUAGCCAACGCGUUAAGUGUUCCGCCUGGGGAGUACGCACGCAAGUGUGAAACUCAAAGGAAUUGACGGGGGCCCGCACAAGCGGUGGAGUAUGUGGUUUAAUUCGAUGCAACGCGAAGAACCUUACCAGGGUUUGACAUCCUGCGAAUCUCUUGGAAACAGGAGAGUGCCUUCGGGAACGCGGUGACAGGUGGUGCAUGGCUGUCGUCAGCUCGUGUCGUGAGAUGUUGGGUUAAGUCCCGCAACGAGCGCAACCCACGUCUUUAGUUGCCAGCAUUUAGUUGGGCACUCUAGAGAGACUGCCGGUGAUAAACCGGAGGAAGGUGUGGAUGACGUCAAGUCAUCAUGCCCCUUACAUCCUGGGCUACACACGUACUACAAUGCUACGGACAAAGGGCUGCAAGUUCGCGAGGACAAGCAAAUCCCAUAAACCGUGGCUCAGUUCAGAUCGUAGGCUGCAACUCGCCUACGUGAAGGCGGAAUCGCUAGUAAUCGCAGGUCAGCAUACUGCGGUGAAUACGUUCCCGGGCCUCGUACACACCGCCCGUCACACCAUGGAAGUUGGCCACGCCCGAAGCCGUUACUCCAACCCUUGUGGAGGAGGACGUCGAAGGUGGGGCUGAUGACUGGGGUGAAGUCGUAACAAGGUAACCG